AACAUCGCGCACCUGCGGGAACCUGCGGAGGGAUCAUUACCGAGUGUGAACCCCCCCGUAAAAAAGAGGGGUUACCUCCCGUCCUUUGCUGGGAACCCCUUUCCAACUUGGAAGGAGGUUGUUUUCAGACCCUUCUGCUUCGGUGGGGUAACCCACCGGAACAACCUCAAAAAUAUUCUCAAUUCAAAACCGUUCAGUCCGAGAACUUUUUUGAAAAGCGAAAAAACUUUCAGCAAUGGA
rnacentral:misc_RNA from 1 species